AGGUCAAGUUACAAAGAGCGCAGGGCGAAUGCCUUGGCACCAUGAGCCGAAGAAGGACGUGAUAAGCUGCGAAAAGCUACGUGUAGGUGCAAAUAACCAUUAAAGCGUAGAUAUCCGAAUGGGGAAACCUAAUCAGGGUAAAUUCCUGAUUACUCCUAGAUGAAUACAUAGUCUAGGUAGAGGGAACGGGGGGAAUUGAAACAUCUUAGUACCCCUAGGAAAAGAAAUCAACCGAGAUUCCGUAAGUAGUGGCGAGCGAAAGCGGAAGAGGCCAAACCGAUUUACUUCGGUAAAUCGGGGUUCGGACUGAAUAAUCUAGAACAAGAGUUAGCAGAAUGAGCGGAUGGAAAGCCGAGACCAUAGAACGUAAUAGUCGUGUAAGCGAAAACUCAAGUUCAGAGUCAGUAUCCAGAGUAAUGUAGGACACGAGGAAUCCUGCAGGAAGACGGGGGGACCACCCUCCAAGCCUAAAUACUCCAUGGUGACCGAUAGUGAAUAGUACAGUGAUGGAAAGGUGAAAAGAACCCCGGGAGGGGAGUGAAAGAGAACCUGAAACCCUGUGUUUACAAGCAGUCGGAGCACGUUAAUGUGCAACGGCGUACUUUUUGUAGAACGGUCCGACGAGUUACGAUUACUAGCAAGGUUAAGUAGUAGAGCUAUGAAGCCGAAGGGAAACCGAGUAUGAAUAGUGCGAGUAGUUAGUAGUUGUAGACCCGAAACCAGGCGACCUAUCCAUGAGCAGCGUGAAGGUAAGGUAAAGCUUACUGGAGGCGCGAACCCGUAUCUGUUGAAAAAGGUUGGGAUGACUUGUGGAUAGCGGAGAAAUUCCAAUCGAGCUUGGAUAUAGCUGGUUCUCCCCGAAAUAGCUUUAGGGCUAGCCUUAUUAUAGAGUUUAUAGGGGGUAGAGCACUGAAUGGCAAAGGGCCCUUCCCAGGGUACCAAUGCUUAUCAAACUCCGAAUACCUAUAAAUAUGAAUAGGAGUGAGACUAUGACAGAUAAGUGCCGUAGUCGAGAGGGAAACAACCCAGACCGUCAGCUAAGGUCCCAAAGUUACAGUUAAGUGGGAAAGGAUGUGGAUUUGCUAAGACAGCUAGGAUGUUGGCUUAGAAGCAGCAACUCAUUUAAAGAGUGCGUAAUAGCUCACUAGUCGAGUGAGUCUGCGCCGAAAAUUUAACGGGGCUAAACUGUACACCGAAGCUACGGAUCGAAAGAUGGUAGGGGAGCGUUCUGUAGGCCGUUGAAGCAUGAUCGAAAGGACAUGUGGAGGUAUCAGAAGUGAGAAUGUCGGAAUAAGUAGCGAGAGCAAAGUGAGAAUCUUUGCCGUCGAAAAUCUAAGGUUUCCUGGGCAAGGCUCGUCCUCCCAGGGUAAGUCGGGACCUAAGGCGAGGCCAAGAGGCGUAGUCGAUGGACAGCAGGUUUAAAUUCCUGCACUGCAAUGUUGCGUUAUUAGAGACGCAGGGACACGGAAGGAUAAGAUCGCAGACAGCUGGAAUAGUCUGUGGAAAGCACGAAACGAAGGACUUAGUAAAGUACGGGUCCUAAUAGGAGAGUGCCGAAGGAGGGAAAAUAAGUACCGAAGGAUCUGAAUUCAACUGGCGAGAAAAGCUGCUAUCAAGUAACAGUGCACCCGUACCGCAAACCGACACAGGUAGAUGAGGAGAGAAUCCUAAGACGAUCGGGAGAAUCAUCGUUAAGGAACUAGGCAAAUUAACCCCGUAAGUUAGCGAUAAGGGGAGCCAGCUAGCGCUGGCCGCAGAGAAAUGGCCCGAGCAACUGUUUAGCAAAAACACAGGUCUCCGCAAACACGAAAGUGGAAGUAUGGGGGCUGACGCCUGCCCGGUGCUGGAAGGUCAAGGGGAAGUGUUAGAGAAUACUCGAAGCACAGAACUUAAGCCCCAGUGAACGGCGGCCGUAACUAUAACGGUCCUAAGGUAGCGAAAUUCCUUGUCAGGUAAGUUCUGACCCGCAUGAAUGGCGUAAUGAUUUGGGCACUGUCUCAACGAUGCACCCGGUGAAAUUGUAGUACUUGUGAAGAUGCAAGUUACCCGCGACUAGACGGAAAGACCCCAUGGAGCUUUACUGUAGAUUGCUACUGGGACUCGAUAUCGUAUGUACAGAAUAGGUGGGAGACAAUGAAGUGUUGGCGUCAGUUGACAUGGAGUCACAAUGUGGAAUACCACUCUUACGAUGUUGGGUUUCUAACGAUAUCCCGUGAUCCGGGAGUCGGACAAUGGCAGUCGGGCAGUUUGACUGGGGCGGUCGCCUCCUAAAGAGUAACGGAGGCGUUCAAAGCUUACCUCAGUACGGUUGGAAAUCGUACAAAGAGCAUAAAGGUAUAAGGUAGGUUAACUGCGAGACGUACAGGUCGAGCAGAUACGAAAGUAGGACUUAGUGAUCCCGCGGUAGAAUGUGGAAUUGCCGUGGCUCAACGGAUAAAAGUUACCCUGGGGAUAACAGGCUUAUCUCCCCCAAGAGUUCACAUCGACGGGGAGGUUUGGCACCUCGAUGUCGGCUCGUCACAUCCUGGGGCGGAAGCCCGUCCCAAGGGUUCGGCUGUUCGCCGAUUAAAGUGGCACGCGAGCUGGGUUCAGAACGUCGUGAGACAGUUCGGUCCCUAUCUGUCGUGGGCGUAGGAAAUUUGAGAGGAGCUGUCCCUAGUACGAGAGGACCGGGAUGGACGGACCAAUGGUGUACCAGUUGUAUUGCCAAAUGCAUAGCUGGGUAGCUAAGUCCGGACGGGAUAAACGCUGAAAGCAUCUAAGUGUGAAGCCUCCCUCAAGAUGAGAUUUCCCAUCCCAAGUGGAUUAAGACCCCUUGUAGACUACAAGGUAGAUAGGUCAAGAGUGGAAGUGCAGUAAUGUAUGAAGCGGAUUGAUACUAAUAGGUCGAGGACUUGACCACA
rnacentral:rRNA from 1 species